rnacentral:rRNA from 1 species
GUGGGGAAUAUUGGGCAAUGGGCGCAAGCCUGACCCAGCAACGCCGCGUGAGGGAAGAAGGCUUUCGGGUUGUAAACCUCUGUCCUUGGUGACGAAAAAAAUGACGGUAGCCAAGGAGGAAGCCCCGGCUAACUACGUGCCAGCAGCCGCGGUAAUACGUAGGGGGCGAGCGUUGUCCGGAAUUACUGGGCGUAAAGGGUGCGUAGGUGGCCUUUUAAGUUGGAUGUGAAAUCCCCGGGCUUAACUUGGGUGGUGCAUCUAAUACUGGAGGGCUAGAGUGCAGGAGAGGGAAGCGGAAUUCCUAGUGUAGCGGUGAAAUGCGUAGAUAUUAGGAGGAACACCAGUGGCGAAGGCGGCUUUCUGGACUGUAACUGACACUGAGGCACGAAAGCGUGGGGAGCAAACAGGAUUAGAAACCCUAGUAGUCC